rnacentral:rRNA from 1 species
CGCGUAGGUGGUAGUGCAAGUCUGGGGUGGAAUCUUAGGGCUUAACCCUAAAACUGCCUUGGAAACUGCAUUACUUGAGUCAGUGAGGGGAGGGUAGAAUUCCUGGUGUAGCGGUGAAAUGCGUAGAUAUCAGGAGGAAGGCCUGUGGCGAAGGCGGCCCUCUGGCGCUGAACUGACACUGAGGCGCGAAAGCGUGGGUAGCAAACAGGAUUAGAUACCCUGGUAGUCCACGCCCUAAACGGUGGGUACUAGGUGUAGGGCUCGUAAGGGUUCUGUGCCGAAGGGAAACCAUUAAGUGCCCCCGCCUGGGGGAGUACGGCCGCAAGGUUGAA